rnacentral:misc_RNA from 1 species
AAGUCGUAACAAGGUUUCCGUAGGUGAACCUGCGGAAGGAUCAUUACCUAGAGUUGUAGGCUUUGCCUGCUAUCUCUUACCCAUGUCUUUUAAGUACCUUACGUUUCCUCGGCGGGUCCGCCCGCCGAUUGGACAAUUUAAACCAUUUGCAGUUGCAAUCAGCGUCUGAAAAAACUUAAUAGUUACAA